rnacentral:rRNA from 1 species
AACGAACGCUGGCGGCAUGCCUAACACAUGCAAGUCGAACGAGACCUUCGGGUCUAGUGGCGCACGGGUGCGUAACGCGUGGGAACCUGCCCUUAGGUUCGGAAUAACUCCCCGAAAGGGGUGCUAAUACCGGAUAAUGUCUUCGGACCAAAGAUUUAUCGCCUUUGGAUGGGCCCGCGUUGGAUUAGCUAGUUGGUAGGGUAAAAGCCUACCAAGGCGACGAUCCAUAGCUGGUCUGAGAGGAUGAUCAGCCACACUAGGACUGAGACACGGCCCAGACUCCUACGGGAGGCAGCAGUGGGGAAUAUUGGACAAUGGGCGAAAGCCUGAUCCAGCAAUGCCGCGUGAGUGAUGAAGGCCUUAGGGUUGUAAAGCUCUUUUACCCGGGAUGAUAAUGACAGUACCGGGAGAAUAAGCGCCGGCUAACUCCGUG